ACAUAUAUAUAUAUAUACACACACAUAUAUAUAUAUUAUAUGUAUAUAUAUAUAUAUCACCUCUUUUUUAUCCAUCCAUCUGUUGAUGACUGCUUGGGCUGGCUCUCUCACAAGCCUGCUGAUUUUUAAAAUUCUAGGUUUGAAGCCCCACUAGUUGUAAGAAUUUGCAAAAUUCAACCCCUCUGAUUUUCAAAGCCAAAUUUUAGGAGGAUUCAUCUUCCCCAUAUGGGCUUCCUGGUGGAAGGUCUGCUCCUCUCCCCUUGCCACACCUACAGAGUCCUUCCCUCCUUUGCACAGUCUGGCAGGUCUGUGUCGCUCCCGACAGUGUCUCCACCCUUUCUGUCCUCGUCAAUGUGGCCUCUUCUCUCCCUUUAGCUGUGGAAAGUCUGUUCUUCCAGUCUUCGAGUCCCUUUCUGGGUUAUUUACACUGAUGUGGGUGUUAUCAAGUUGUAUCCAUGGGACGAGGUGAGCUUAGGGUCCUCUUACUCUGACAUCUUCUGUGGAAGUCCCAAUAUUAAUGGUGUUUGGGGUUAUGCAUUUACCCUUGGUUUCAUCUGACUUACAUCUCUGUUUACUUAGUUAUUUUUACUUUGUUGGUGUGGGUGAAAUGUGGAGUGAUUAUCUUUUGCUCUUUUAUAUAGGGUGUGUUUGCUAGCAUCAGUCCCUUAAUUCACUGAUUUGCAUAAAAAUUACCACUGGAAAGAUUUAAUUGGCCCCAAAAUACCACUUGUAGUUUGAUAUACCCCACUUAUUCUCACUGAUGUCUCUAUUCUGAACUAGAGAUUUUUUUUUAAUGCGUCACUCCUUUGAGUUCUAAUUCAUGAACUACUUCAUCGCUGAGCUUAUAAGAAAGAAAUGUAAAUCACUGACCUACUUGAAAACUCACUUUUUCUAAACAGCUCCUUAGUUCAUAAUUCCCUUUGUGCCUGGCAUAUUUUACUUGUGUAGAGCUUGUGAACAUUUGGAUCAUGACUCCAAAGCCUUGCCAACAAGAACACAUGAAGGCUACGUUGUCACAGUGAGGGCUUUGUGUCCAAUUAGCAUCAACAUAUUAGGGUUGCUCGAUUUGUGCAUCUAGAAAGCCUACAGCCAGAUGGGUGGGAAUCCCAGGCCAAGCGUGCAGUGUGCACUUACAUCAAGAUCGGUUCGUUUGUUCACGGCCAAUCAUUGUGUGGAUGGGUUACAACAGAGUCCCUCAGGAAACCAGUGAUUUCACAGGAAUUCCUCACAACUAAGAUUAAGAGCUAGGAUGUUCCACACCCUCCUGCCCUCUUCUCCUAACUUGGCGGAUUGAAAGUCUCUGGCUGAAAUCUUUAGACCUUUUUCAUUUAACAGUAGAGCCUCCAUACCUCAUGAUGACUCAUGGACUGUCACUAGCCCCCACUGAGAUACUAAGGGACUAUGACCUUUGGCCCUACCCAAAUUAAUAUUUGUAUGCAAGGUAUGUGUUAAUAGGAAGUUUUGGAUAGAUUAGAUCAUUUUAUAUUGGAUACUAUUAUGUUACAUUACAUAGUUUUAUAAUCAAUAUAAGUACUCAGACAAGGUGGCCUCUAAUCAGGUUGUACCAACUAUGUCAAUAUCAGUGGAGUAAGUACAGUAGGAUCCACAGUAGAUCUUAGGUCUACUGUCUCAGUUUUGAAAAUGUGUCAAUUCCCGAUGAACAGAAUCAUUUUACGGUUGGGGAGAAGCUGUAGGGAUGAUAGUAAGAGAAACUAAAGUCUUAUGAGGUUGAAAUUACUCGGCCAGACUCUUAAUAGCCGCACAAAUGAAGGGAGGGCAGUUAGCCUUUCAUAAUUGAUUCUGUACUCUUGUCAUGACCCAGAACCUUUUCAACCCAUCACUCUUGAUAGCAUCUCUUAAUCUGCGUUGACAGUUGUGAUGGAGACCCAUUUCCUGUUGCAGCCUUAGAUGGCUUUGGGGGUGAGGUACAGUAUACCUGUGUAGGAUAUAAAGUUCCCCUGGAAGCUACUUCCCCUUCCUAAACAUGCUCAUGAGACCCUUCUUGCAGAACCAGAGGGCAUUAGCCAAUAAGAGCUUAUAUUAUCGCAGCUUCGUUUGUUUUAGCUUUUUCCUUAAGAAUGACCAUGAUAAGACUCCCAGCCCUAACCCGAAGAAUGAUCCCAAGCCUGUCAGGAGUGACUCUCGCCUUGACCUCACAAAACUUCAACUCCCAGGAUUUCUGAGAGUCAGAAUGAGCAGAGGAAAGGAUACUGCUGGAACUUGGAAUCACACGGCCUUGGGUUUGGUCCUUGCUUCUGCCAUGUGCCACUUGUGACACUUACCUGAAUUCGCUUCCUUAUCUAUGCAAUAGUGACGGUAAUAUCCACUGCCCACUUCAUAGUGUGAGAUCUGUGACGCUUACUUGUUGCUUCAUACGGGUUUGUUCCCUUUCUCUAAAAGUCCUCGAAUGACAGACAACAUUUUAGGGAUAGGAUAGUAGAAUUGGGGAAUAUUUGUAGAGAGAGAUCAUUUUAAACAUCCUGACAAUUAUGCAAGUGAAAGCAAAGGCCAGAUAUCGUCAACUCACUAAACUUUCCCAGAGACAUGGUGCAUGAGAUCUAGUAGGAUACAUGUUAGGGGGAAAAAAGAAAAGGCAGUAAAAGCAAAGGAAUUUUAGCUGUUGUCCAAAAGAAGCUGUAUCCAAGGAGCACUGUUUCAUAGUGACAUUUGGAAAAAUAAAUCCUUGGGAGAGUGUUUCUGAGGGUUGAGCGUUCCCUUCUCCUUACUCUGAGGGAGUGUCAGCACACUGUCAUCUCCAGGCUUUCUGAAAAGGGAGAUAAUGAGGGCAAAGUGUCUGCUCCAUCCAUUAGGAGUUAUAGGAUACAGGUUAGUUCAGUAAGAGAAGGUUGGCCUCCUGGCAGAAGGUCAAGUUCCCUGAGCCUCUGAGGCAGGAAACUCUCUGAGGCAGGCCUACCUCUGCUAAGCACUGACCUGAGAUGGGGGACUGACUUUGCGAUAAUCCCCAGAUGACGGACCCAGCCGUGGGCCUUUUUUUCUACAAAUCCUAGUCUGCUCUUUUGUUGUGAGAGUUCUCUCUUUUUUUUUCAGGGAUUGAAAAUAUAGUAAUGGUUGAUAACCUGACAAAUGUCUACGCUAAGUUCAUAUUAAGGGAGGAAGAAAUUCCAACUGGAUGUGCCAUUGUCUGCUGCUUUGAGACUUUUUAAAUACAUAUCCAUCAGCAGCAGGUUUUCAGGUGGAUUUUUUUUAAGUUUUUUUUUUUAAAAAUGAACUCAUGAACCACAAGAUCAUGAUCUGAGCCUAAAUCAAGAGUCAGAUACUUAACCGACUGAGCCCUCAGGCGCCCCCCCCCCCCCCAGGUGGAUUUUUAUGCUGGUUUUUGCCAUCAUCCGUCCAUCCCAACCUCCUUGGUCCCUUCUCCUGGUGUAAUUAUUGUAAGGGUCUUUUGUUGUUGUUGUUGUUGUUGUUGUUUGCCUUCUGGGUAUAGAUUAGCCUAAGCAUCUCUGAAUACAAACCUCAGCUAUAAGGAAAAACUUGCCCAGGGGACAGUGACUUGUGGAUGUUCAGGUUCUCCAGAUGGGCCGUUGACUGUGGAGUUAUGCUCUCCGCAACUUGACCUUGCACGUGUAGCUGUGAACACACACAGAUGAGAGGACAUUUGGUUUUACAGCACUGGCAGGACCACAGUCUUUUCUCCCCAUUAAUGUUUCCAAAGAGCAAACUAAGUAUCUACACCAAGGGUACUAACGCCUACGCAGAGCAUCUGUUAAGAGUUUAAAUCACUUAGGAGCAUGACUCCCAAAAUAACCAACACUGUUUCCAUUUGUUUUGCCAUCAAAUAUGGUGUAUUAAAUGCCCACAAAUGUUGUCCUGGGUUUUGUACCAAGUAACUGAAAAGAGCCAGCAAUGGCUCUUUGAGAAAUCAUGAUUUAGAAUUGCUGGAAGAUGCUAUGAAUCUUGAGCUGGCUGCUUGUUUGUUGUGUUGCUUUCUCUCUUCCCAUUUUAAUACCUGCGUGCAUGUUGUCUUGCAAGCCUGCACCUUUAAUAUUUUCCCUGUGGUUCUUGUUGCAUUGUCUCCUUUUGAGCAAUCAUUGGAAAGCACUAGGGAAACCUAGAGAGGGAGAAACUCCGAGACAAGCAGGGAUGUCAUUUUUGUCCCAAAGGAAAGGAUUGGAGUUUCUUAUCUGUGUAAUCAGAAGGCUUUUCGUAAUCUUAUUUUAAGAUAAUCCACCACGGGAUCCUUGAGCCUUGGCUUGUAUCAAGAGACAUGUAAGCUUUACUCCUUCUUCAGCCUGCCGUGGCUCAAGGGUUGUAUCAGGUAGACUACCAAGCAUCUUGUGUGAAGCUUUGGUUGAGAUGCCUGCCAGUUUACAGAGAUCAAUUAGUCAUAGCGUGGGAAGAGAAUUUCCAGUAGGUGCUCCAGGGGUUUAUUGAAUGGCACAAAGUAGGUUAAGAAGAGAAGGGAAUGAGAUAUACAAAGGUAUAUUAUCUUUUUAAAAAAGAUCCUUAUAUCACAUUCUUUCUGAUAAUUGUGGGAAUCUAAGGUAUGUUGAAAGCUUCGUUGAUAUGCCAAUGACAGCGUAUUUUCAAACCUACUUUAAGUGAUUUCUUACACAGCCAAUUCUUUGCUAAAAGGAGGCACAUUUUCUUUGCUGAAAAUAUUUGUUUUAGGUUGUUGGAGAUUUCCUUGUUGCCACGGAUGAUUAUCUUGAAAUUCACAGGGUUGUGUUUGUAGCCUCAACUCCUCAGGACCCUCAGGCUGUCUGGUCGGGCUGAGCUUUAGAGUUCCAAACCGAAUUGUAAAGACGUGACAGACGUGACGUUUAAAGGAAAUGGGGAGAUAAAUAAGAAUGUGUAACUAGAAAAUUGCUGUAUCCAGAAAGGCUUAAAUUCCCACAGUUAAAUAAAGUCUUGCUUUUAUACUUAAAAGGAUUAAUACUGAAGGAUGGAACCGCUACUAACUGCUUCUCCUAAAUGUCAAAACACUGAAAAUUACUGAGAAAUUAGCUGUCGCCAAGUGAGUUCCAAAUCCUGAGUGGAACUGAACGCCUUGUGGUUUUGUGUCUCCAGGAGUGUUGGCACGGUGCUCAGUAGGGUGUAUGCUGGGAAUUCGGAAGGAGAUAACAAGAGAAGGGAAGGAGAGAGGGCGAAAAGAAGAAGCCUGAGGGACAGAAGGAACAAAGGAAGCAGUAAGGGAGAAAGAAGGGUAAAAUAAAUAGACUGCAAGAGAGUUUGUUUUGUUAAAACACACGAGCGUGUGCGCACACAGACACACACAUCCACACAACACACAGAGAAGUUGAGGGACUUGUCUAACUCACACAGUUGCUCACAGACCUGGAACCAGAAUAUGGGUAUAUCCUGAUACUAUAUCUCCUUCUUGGCUCUCAGCUUCACAGGGGACAUUAUUCCACAAGCAUUUUGAAUUCUUUGAAAAGAAUUAUAAGAAAAUAAUGCGUAGAUUGAAACGUCCUUGGAAGAGAAUCCAUGUCUCAAACUGAGUGAUUUAGGUUUAAGGGAGCCAACUAAGAUUUUGAAAGGCCCCAGAAAGGUUAUAUUUCAUAGAAGGGAAGAAAAUAUGUUGAGGACAUCUGGAAAGAAAUUCAAGUUAUUUCUCUGGUAUUUCCUUAAAAUAUUUUUAAUUUUGCGGCAAAAUAAUACACUGGCAGGCUCACAUCUUACAUUCUCAUCCAAAUUUGGACUUCUCAUCCCUCCUUAGCUUCAUUUUUUUCCCUUUUUCUUUCUUUUUGAAGUUCCCACAUCCUUCUUUUCUCUCCUCACUUGCUCUGCUUGGAUUCCAACUCUGCUUGCUUUCACAACCGCCUUCAUAUUCGUUCUCACAUCUGUUAUUUUCCUUGUGCUUUUCCUUUGCUAUCUAUCCUGCAGCCCUUCGUCGGCUUUUCCCCUAACCUCCUUUCCCCUGGUACUUUUCUACUGGUUCAUUCGUCAGUUUCCUGUCUCUGGUUGGCAUUGAUCCCCGCCUUCCCCCCCCCCCCCAGCCCUGCUCCCACUUUUUACUCUCCCUCCUCCAGGGUUUGCUAAGGGCAGACUGUCACUGUCUGAGAUAGGACUGAGCUCUUUCCCAUUAUGUAAUUCAGCAUACCCGGAAACAGCUGUUAGGACUGUUUUGUUUCCCCCUGAGGCUCACUUUUCCAGAAAACAAAAUGCUACUGGAUGCUUCCAUGGCGUUGGAAGGUAGUUUGCUUGGAUUGGACUUGACAUUUUAGGAUCUGGAUUUCUGAUCACUUUCUUCUCAAAAUCUCAACCUCGAUUUGGGAAUCAAGUCAAAUUCUUGACUCAUGGUCAUUUUCUACACAGUCCUCUGAAAUUUGGAAGAAUAAGUGUAUCUCCGAAACGGUUCAGUUUUCUGCCAAUCACGAGUUAUCCCCAGGAAGAUGUGGUUGGUUACUAAACACAUUUAAGAAACUGACACUUGUCUGGAUGUGAGUCCACACGUGUUAGAAAUGGCUUUUACUCUCAAGAACUUGUGCUCUCCUCUUGCUCA